UACGUAGGGGGCUAGCGUUGUCCGGAAUCAUUGGGCGUAAAGCGCGCGUAGGCGGUUCGGUAAGUCCGGUGUGAAAGUCGGGGGCUCAACCCUCGAAUGCCGGUGGAUACUGUCGGACUAGAGUACGGAAGAGGCGAGUGGAAUUCCUGGUGUAGCGGUGAAAUGCGCAGAUAUCAGGAGGAACACCAAUUGCGAAGGCAGCUCGCUGGGACGUUACUGACGCUGAGACGCGAAAGCGUGGGGAGCAAACAGG
rnacentral:rRNA from 1 species